rnacentral:lncRNA from 10 species
ACAGGCAUGACCCACUGUGCCCGGCCUUAACUAUAAAUAAUUUUCUAUUUAACUGAGUUUUCAAAUUAAACAACUAUAUUUUGUAUCUCUAGAAGUUCUAUAUUGUUCAUAUCUUAUUUCAAAUUUUUCUAUUUUCCCAAAGAAUCCUAUUCUUUUCUUAUGAUUUAGAUUACUUCUUUUUAUGUUUUUAAUCAGUUUUAAAUGCUUGCUUUAUAGACCUUAGUAGUUAGAUUAUCUAAAGUUAUUGAGAAUGAAUUAUGCUCUUUGUUGUCUUUGUGGAUUCUUGCUUAUGGCAGAUUUCCUCAUUCCCCACAUGUGUUUUAUAGUUUCCGUUUGAGUUAAUUCACAGCCAGGCUUUAUUUGUAGAAAUCUCAUAUGGAUUAUUAUGAAGGUAUGUCCCACCAAAACAGUUUUUCAUUCACGUCCACCAGGCAAACCUAUGUUGUCACUGACUUCCUUUGAUGUUGAUUUCUAGGGUGAUUCUUAGACCAUUCAGAGGUAUAAAUUCAAGUCCAAACCUACAUGUGAUGGUGUCAACUUGACUGGAUUUGAGGGAUGCCUAGAUGGCUAGUGAAGUACUGUUUCUGGGUGUGUCUGUGAGGGUGUUGCCAGCGGACAUUGACAUUUGACUGGGAGAGGAAGACCCACCCUUGAUGUAGGUGGGCACCGUGCAAUCAGCUGCCAGCACUGCUAGAACAAAGCAGGUGGAAGGGGGAUAAGCAGCUUGCUGAGUCUUCUUGCUCUUUUUUCCCAUGCUAGAUGCUUGCUUCCUCUCCUCCUGCCCUUGGGCAUCAGACUCCAGGCUCUUUGGCCUUUGGACUCUGGGCCUUGCUUCAGUGGUCUCCCAGGGGUUCGCGGGCGUUUGGCCUCAGACUGAGGGCUGCACUGUUGGCUUCGCUGAUUUUAAGGCUUUCCAACUUGUACUGAACCAUGCUCCUGGCUUGUCUUUCUUUCCCCAGCUUGCAGACUGUCUAUCAUGGGACUUUGCUUUGUAAUCGUGGGAGCCAGUUCUCCUUAAUAAGCUCAUAGGAUAUAUAUAUAUAUAUAUGUCCUAUUUUCUGUCCCUCUGGAGACUCCUAAUAUACUACAUGAGGCUUUCCUCCACUCCAUCCAAACCCCAGGCCAAGACAGGCAAGUUACCUUAUUAUCUCCUAGUGCCUAUAAUUGAUUUUUUUUCUUUUAUGAAGGUUGAAGUCAUUAAUGAUUCUGGUGCUACGCAUGGG